ensembl:lncRNA
UCCAAGCCAAACAGCUAGGAGACAGACAGCAGCCCAGAAAAUCUCAGCCGCUGCUGCGGGAGGGCCCUGCUGGCGGCGGGGCAGCUGGGACCGGGCUAACGAGAGAAAGGCAGCAGAGCCAACCUCGCUGGGGCUUCACUCAGUGGCCAGACUCUGGGAAGGAGGCAUGAUCCUCGGACCAGGCCACUGCGUUUAGGCUCCGAUCUAAGUACUGAUUCAUACAGACGGCUGCCUCAGAAGAAUUGCCUCCAUUCUUUCGGUUGGAAAAGAAUACUAUCCUACACUUACGCGGAUGCCCUGAAAACAAUUGUGGUUACCUCGCAGAGAACACCCGGCCUUGCAGCAAUGCCUGGUGGCUUUGGCAUUGGAUCUUCAGGGGAGCAAAUGGACAGAAGGUAGUGGGCAGAGUGCUGGGUCAGCAGGCAGGUGGCCAUGGUGCAGAAACCUUCCCAGGGGCCGGCCACACUCAGGUCAAGGAAGAUGUGGAGUUUGGAAGCACCAGGAUUCUGUGUGAUCGGAAUCAUUCAUUCAUUCAGCAGGCACUGAGUUGGAGCACAAGGGGACAGUGGAGUCCAGAAAACUAAGAUGUCCUCACCCAGCAGUUUAUGCUUCAGCAGAGAACAUAGAAAUUAAGCAACUACACAAAUAAUUAUUCAGUCACAAAUGUAGAACUUAAAUUCUCCCUUCUCUAUGACGUCAUUCAUUUUUUCCCCUCUACCCUUUCAUUCCUACCAGCCUACAAAUGUACCAUAAUUUCUCCCAUUUUAAAAAAAAUCCACUUUAAUCCUGCAUCUCCCUCUAGCCAUCAUAACAUUUCUCAGCUUCCCCUUUUGGCCAAGCUAUUCACAAGAGUCAUCUGUAUUUCCUGUCUUCAAUAUCUGUCCUUCUGUUCCCAUCAACCCCACCCCAAUCCUUCUGUCUCCUCCACAAUUCACUUGAAGCUGUCCUUUCAAGCUCCUCGAGGACAUCCACAUUGCUUGAUCUACUGAGCCAUUCUUGGUCCUGAGCUUAUCCACAUGCAGCUUUUAGGUGAGCAUGACAUGGUGUUAAAGACCAAGAACUCUGAGCCAGACUGAGUUCCAAUCCCAGCUCCAGUAGUGUGAACUAUGUGACUGAGUAAGUUCAUCUGCAAAAUAGACAUAAUAAAAGAACGUACCUGUUAGGAAGACUAUCAUGAUACAAUGAGUUGAUGUAUGUAAAAGACUCAGAACAGUGACAGGCACAUUGUAAACUCUAUGUAAGUUAUAAUACUAAUAGCAGUAAUUAAUAGCAUUGGUCACUCCCACGUUCUUCAUUUGGCUUCCAGGAUACCAUACCUGCCUGGCUUUCCUCCUGGCUUUUCAUUGGUCUCCUUUGCCAAUCUCCUGUCAUCUCCCCAAUCUAGAGAACUCGGGUGCCCCAAAACUUGGUCUUUGAACAUCUCUCCUCCUGGGAUUUCAUUUAGUCUCAUGUCUUCAAGUGCCAUCUGAAUGUUGACACUCCCAGUUUUGUAUCCCCAGUAUCAAGUCCCAAGUUGGUCUGAUUGCUUUCUAGACCUUUAGGUUUCCUAGGCAUCUCAGACUCAGCCUUCUUGCUGUUCUGGACCUCAUCAGGCAUGCUCUUACCUGGAGAGCACUUUCCCAGAUAGCUAAGGGGUUAUUUCUUCACUCCUUCCCAGUCUCAUUUGUUGCCUUCUCAAUGAGGCUUUCUCUGAUCAUCCCAAAACGCUACCAACUCCAUGCCUUAUUAACCUCCUCUGCUUUAUUUUUUUUUCUCCAUUGUAUUUACAAGCUCCAAAUAUACUAUAGAUCAUACAUAUGUAUUUAUUGUUCUGUCUUCCCCAUGUCUGUUCACUGCUAUAUCUCUAGCACCUUGAUCUUGCAUAGUAUAUAAUUAAAUGCUGAAU